rnacentral:lncRNA from 12 species
CUGCUUCAAAUUUCUAUUACAAAACUGCUGCAUGGCACAUCCUUGUCCAUCUGUAAUUGCACACUUGUGUAUUUGUGCACAACAGAUUUCUAAGAAUUGAGAUCGCAGGGUGAAAGGUAUGUACAUCUUAAAAUUUUUUUUCUUAAGGAAUUUAUUUUUGAGUGAGAGAGAGAGGGAGAGGAGGGCUGUGGGGUGGGGAGGGACAAGCCGACUCCACAUUGAGCUCAGAGCCUGUCUUGGGGCUUGAUCUUACGACCCUGAGAUCACGACCCUAAGAUCACAACCUGAGUGGAAACCUAGAGUCCCACGUGCAACCGACUGAGCCACCCUGGCGCCCCUGUGCAUUAAAUUUUGACAAAUACUGCCAAACUGCUUAACAGUCUGUCGGAAAGACCUUGUCUCUUGACUUCAUCUGGAAGUACCAAUGUUCCUGUUACAGGAAACUGGCCAGCCUUCCUGAGGAGCAAGCUGUUUCUAUUCUCCACCAUAAAAUGGAUGUUAUAUUUUCCUUGAUUAAUAUGUACGGCUUCAGUUGGUAAUAACAGUGUUCUGCUUUAUGGCUUACAGGUAGCGAACCCAGAAAAUGUCAGUUACCGUGGAUUUUUUUUUUAAGUUAUUGACAUUCCUUUGGUGAUUCACAAAUGCCAGAAAAUAAAUGCCAUGCUCCCCAGGGUCUACACGAAGACACUGUGGGUUCUGGAUUCUGUAGCUCAUCUUUCAAGAAGACCUAGGAUGGGGUGAUGACUCACUCACCCCACGGUAGCUGUUCUGUAGCUCUGUCCUUUAGAGGCAGCUUGACGGUGGGUCUGCUAGUAUUUUUCCUCCCUCUCCAAGAAUUUCCUUAAGAAGGGACGCCUAGCCAUGUGCCAAGGUCAGCCUCGCCACUCUCUUCUGGGAAGGGCCGUGCACGGUCUGGGUCUGUAGCGCCUGGCAGGCUGCGGGCACAGAGUAGGCUCACGGGAGAUGCGCAGCAGCGGCAGCCGCUGGGAUUCACAACGCAGCCUGAAAGUUGAGUUUUGCCUUGUAGGGUUGCAAGUGCAUCCUGUUGUUUAUCAUAAGAACACAAAGACCCCUUCUUCCACCCCCCCCCCAAGUCUCUCCUACUGGUGCCCCACGUGGGACCAGGGUGUGAUUUGGCGGGAGGGAAAGCAGACCCAGGUGGAGCAACGCUGGGGAGAGGAGGAGGAGGAGGAGGUGCAGGAGGAAGAGGAGGAGGAGGGCCAGGAGGAGGAGGAGGUGGAGGAGGGGAGGAGGAGCAGGUGGAGGAGGAGGGCCAGGAGGAGGGGGAGGGGGAGGAGGAGGAGGGGGGGAGGAGGAGCAGGAGGAGGAGGAGGGCCAGGAGGAAGAGGAAGAAGAGGAGGGGAGGAGGAGGAGGAGGAGGAGGAGGAGGAGGGUCAGGAGGAAGAGGAGGAGGAGGAGGAGGGGAGGAGGAGCAGGAGGAGGAGGAGGAGGGGGAGGGCCAGGAGGAGGAGGAGGAGGAGGAGGUGGAGGAGGGCCAGGAGGGGGAGGGCCAGGAGGAGGAGGAGCAGGAGGAGGAGGGCCAGGAGGAAGAGGGGGAGGAGGAGGAGGAGGGCCAGGAGGAGGGGGAGGUAUGGUGUCCCUUGGCAGCUCCGUGCGCGCUGCGGCAGUGGCCACAGGAGCAUGGGGUACCAGUUGCUCAACACUUUAUCAGUUUGCACUGCUCUUUCUUCUCUCUCCGACCUCUCAUGUGGCCUUUGUAAAUGUGGGUUUGCGACAGAGUGA